CCAAACUUUUGAAUGGUAGUGUAUGUGUGGCAGACUCUCGCUUCCCUUCGGCAGCUUCGUGACAGAAAUGGAAUCGACGAGUUUCAGGUUGACGUCAUCUCCAAAAUGAAAGAAAACACAGCUUUAUUAAUGCCAAUAAUAUUGUUGAUGGCGCAUCCUGGUGGAGUCACAGGUCGGUCCAGCUGGUAAUCAUGGAGUCGGAGGUUAUUUCACACAUAAAUAAGGGUCAUGACUCCAAUUUUGGGGCAUAACUGUGUACUAUAAAGCCUUAUAUCAGUGUCCACACAAACUCAAAUCUUGGUUGUCUUUUUUUGCAAGCAGAGGAAAGCUUCUGUUGUUUUAGGACUGUUAGUCCGUCCGUAUAUACAGGGGGUCCUUGACUUCAGUCGGAAUUCUGCUCCUACAGUGCGACAUAGUUAAAUUUUCGCUGUAAGUCGGAACUCACAUCCUGUGAUAUAUGUGGUGUACAACCGGCAAAUGUAAAACAAAGCCGUCCUCCUCGUAUAGCGCCGAAUGUUGAUGUAUUCACCCACUCUGUUCGCCAACUAGUUUCCGUGCGAAAUUAGUUUUAAUGUCGCAAACGGCAUACAGAAGACUUUCUUAAUAAAUUUAUGGAAGAUAGCGACGUAACCACGAAACUCCGUAGGUCGAGGACGUCGUAAACCGAGGACCUGGUGUACAGGUGGCAGAUGCAGGAAAAGUGGCUUUGAACCGCUGAUGAUGACAUCAUGCGCGCUGUUGCACUCUUAAGAUGUGUCCUUCUUCUACAAAGGGAUAAUGAAGCUUGAAUAUCUGUGGACCGUUGAAGUUAAAGGAGAACAUGAUGAAAAAUAAUGAAGAACAAUUUUCUCAUGUGGCAUUUUCUGAACUUUCUGAAGCAACCGUUGAGAAAACAAUACCUCUGAUCACUGCAAGGUUUUCCCGUGGGUGUUCACAAAGCAGCAGCCUGUGAAUGAAGGCAGCAUCACACGUGACACGCCACUCGAUUUCCCUACAAACACACAAUGCCGGGCCGAGUGGGUGUUCGGGGAGCGUGACGGACGAAGCAGCAGGCCGAAGCCGACAGCAGCAGACGGAGAUGAGUGAUGGCUGCAACGGAGGGGUUGUCCAGGGAGGCGAGCGGCGACAUUAAACACCCCUCACACGUGUGCACACACACAUGCACGCAGAAUCUGUAAAGGUUUCCCUCGAGGAUGCUGAAACAACAAACAGGGCUGGUUAUGAGUUUCUCCUGGAGAACAGCGAUGUGUUUCCACAUUGAUUUCUGGGAUUGAACGCGCAGCAAAUCACAGCUCUGAAAGACAACACGGGCUGGAAAUUGACCGAGAAGAAAAUCUCCAGGGACGGAGCGCAAUCUGCGAUGACGUUUGCAAGUGUCCUGGAGUCUAUCACAGCUGGGUGAAGGAUGGAGAAGAUGGAGAACCCAGAGAAAACCCAUCAUGCACAGGGAGAAGAUGCAAACUCCACGCAGAACCCAAGCCGGGAUGCAAACUGGGGAUCGUGAAGGAGAUUUCAGCCUUAAUUGUACUGACCUGUGGCUGUUUAAUUGUUGUUGUUAUACUGCUCAUAGCAAACUUUUUACUCCACCAAGGAACGGCGGAGUUAAGUGACGAUCAGUGUAUGUUUGCCCAUCUGUCUGUUCACAACAUUACUCAAAAAUGGACUAACAGGUUUAGAUGAAGUUUUCAGGGAAGGUCAGAAAUGAGACAAGGACCAAGCAAUUGCAUUUUGGCAGUGAUGCAGAUUAUAGUCUGGAUCCACGGAUUUGUUAAAGAUUUUUGUAUCAUUGUGAGAUAGCGUCACUGUAACUAUGACAACAAGUGAACACUACAUCAGCUACCUGCUGAUGAUCACAUGAUUGUGAUUCUACAACAAAUCCACCGCUGCAGACGUAUCAGGAGUUACACGUUGGAAAUGAUCCAAGGAAUAAUUGAUUAAAUUGUAGGGGUGUUUCUGAGCCCCAUCAAUUCCUGCCUCCCGUUACACAUUUAGGCCACGUACACGUGCAGAACACACGUCUGUGCUCAGUGCAAGGUCAUUUUGUUUGUUGGUACAUCUGCAUUAAAUGGCCACAUUCUAUAGUGACAAGAUUUCAGCCGUCAGAAAUGAUACAACGACUGAGCAGCCGUGGUGGAUUGCUGCGCUCUUUGAGUGCUUUUGUUGUUUUUAAAGCGCUGCUUGUUUUUCUGUACUGUUCUCUUUGGGUGUUUGCAGCUUUGGAUGGUCAAACAUUGAGGAAUUUUGGGCUGCGUGUGGACACAGAAGGCAUGAAUUAAUGAUAAUUCUUGGCCUCAAAUGUAGUGUAAUGUCUUGGCAGUCUAUCCAAUAGUAGAAAACAAAGUACAUAACAUGCUGGUGCUGGAGGAAUCAGGAUGUUCGCCUCACUUGACUAAUUUCGGCCUCAUCUCCAGAAAUCAAUCCUGGUACAUCACCACAAAGGACGUAUCAGUUUUUAAAAUGCACAUCGAGAACAAAAGAUCAGGUGUUUGAUCAAUUGAGGCUUUUCUGACAUAAAAAAGCACAAACUAAAAUGCAAGAUGUGUGUUUAUAAUAUUUAAUGCAAUUCAAGACUUCCUCUGUAAACCUUCCUCCACUGAAUGUUUUAAGAUCUGCAGUGGAAAGUUUGACUGAUGUGACCACAGUGAGUCAGUUUUCAUGUGCUAAUGUUCCUCUGGGAUCCAACCAGACAACACCUUCUUAUUUUAGGAUGUUUAAAAUGCAAAUUGCAGCUCCUCCAAAAGAGCAAAGCCUCCAUGUAUCUCUGCUCCCUCGGGCCUCUUUAACUAGAAGAGGGCGUUGUCUACAGCGGCUUUUGUAUUUUAAACGCCUCUACAGGAGCCUGUUAGCGGACGUGUGUUGCAGCAGCACUGAUGCAGCAUCUUCUCAGAUGACCGUCGGUUUCCUUUAAAUGUCAGGCAGCUGUUAGCGACCGCGCCCUUCUUCCAGCUUCUCCCUGAAUGUCUCAGAUACUCCAGCCUCCUUCCUCCUGACGUCGCUUCUCACUCAUGGCAGCCGGGCAGAUCACAUGGCAGCUCUCUGUUUGUGUUUCUGAGGAGGUUUUCAUGACGGGAGGCUUUAAACCUCUAUUGUUUGAGCUCUGCGGUUCAUUUAAAGGGCAGCAGCAGAUCAGUUCACUGAGCCUGAGGGCAGCCUGGAGGUGAGACGACGCCUGUAAACUCUCUGUAGCACCCUUUUCAUAAAGAGAAUCCAUGAAAUUAUCAUCUGCAGGUAUCAUCAGUCAGGUGGAAAUGAUGGAAAAAUCACUCUGACCUGUCAAAUUUUUCCAGAACCUGCAGUGGCUGAUGCUCAAUUUGGUGAACUUUUUUCCUUCAUCUCACCUCACCGAUUUUAGAUCCUUUAGUCGACUCUUCUGAACAUAUUGUAGUCCCAACCAGCAGAGAUGUGAGACGAGAGGCGUCAUGGCAACAUGCAUUUACCAAAGUGAGACAUCCUGACCUCGUUUAAAGCGACGGAAAUUAAAUAUGACACGUUUCACAGCUGCAUCACUGGUGCUUUGUUUCCUUAUAACUGCAUUUUAUGAUCUCUGUCGGAUGAGCAGAGCAGAAUGUCUUCUGAAUCAGGAAGCUUUGUUGUUUGGUACCAAACAGUGCAACCAGAUUGCCUUGCAACACCUAAAAAACACUCUUUUGCACACCCACAUUUAAUAAAUAAUACGAUAAAAAAAAAACAAUAAUAUAAUAACAUUUUAAGUGAGUCUCAUGUCAAAAUGUGGCAGAAUGUCUCAAAAAGGUACAGAUGUCAUACAUUUCAUAUUUCUUUCCAGACACAGCUGCAGUAUGAAGUGGAAAUGUUCUAGCACACAAAAUAGUAUUAUAUUAUGGUGGCAUUGUGUGCAUAUUGAGUACCGUUUAAAAGUUUGGGGUCACUUAUAAAUGUCCUUAUUUUUGAAAGAGAAGCAGUUUUUUUUCAAUGAAGGUAAUGUUAAAUUAGUCAGAAAUCCAGUCUAGACAUUGUUAAUGUGGUAAAUGAUUAUUAGCUGGAAACGUCUGAUUUUUAAUGGAAUAUCUCCACAGGGGAACAGAGGAACAUUUCCAGCAACCAUCACUCCUGUGUUCUAAUGCUACAUUGUGUUAGCUAAUGGUGUUGAAAGGCUAAAUGAUGAUUAGAAAACCUUUGUGCAAUUAUGUUAGCACAUGAAUGAAAGUGUGAGUUUUCAUGGAAAACAUGAAAUUGUCUGACUGACCCCAAAGUUUUGAACUGUAGUGUAUGAGGCUGUGCCAAGGGAAUACUAAUAAUAACAAUAAAAGCACUCAGAGAGUGCAGUACUCCACCAAGGCUGCUCAGUCAUAUCAUUUCCGACGGAUGGAAUCUUACAAAAAUUUGUGGCAGAAAUCGCGGCCCCAUAGAAUUUAGCCAUUUAAUAUAGAUGUAUUCACUUAUGUAUGGAUACCAAAUCGCUUGGCCUAAAUAUUUAGCAGGCGGCAGGAAUUGAUGGGACUCAGAAACACUCCCACAAUUUAAUCAAUUGUUCCUUGUAUCAUUUCUAAUUGAUAAGUCCCAAUAAGUCCACAAUGGUUGAUUUGUAGAUGGAUCACAAUCAUGUGAUUGUCAGCAGGCAGCUGAUGUAGCAUUCACUUGUUGCCAUAGUUACAGUGUCGCUAUCUGGCAAUGACACAGAAAUAUUUUAUAAAUCCGUGGAUCCAGACUAUAAGCUGCGUCACUGCCAAAAUCUAAUCAGUUGGUCCUAGUGUCAUUUCUGACUUUCCCUGAAAACUUCAUCCAAAUCCGUUUGUCUGUUUUUCAGUGAUGCUGCUAACAGACAGACAGACAGACAGACAAACCAACGCUGAUCAUCACAAAACUCCGCCAAGGCUCCACCUCCUUGGUGGAGUAAUAAGUACGAUAAACCAUGGUACUGAAGCACACAUAAGUGAAUUAUAUGUAGUUAAAGCAAAAUUAACUAAUUUUUGACAGGUGCUUUUGAGAUAUUCCACCAUUUGCAGCCUUCAUUCAACAGUUGCUGCUAAAAUUUGAUCAGAAGUUGCUUCGAUUCUUCAUUUUAAACGUAAAACAAAGUGAAAAGUUCACCAGAUAAAAUCCUGACACAAUAACUACGGCUGAAACCAACAGCUGAUGCAAUGUCACAUCAUCUAUCAGUCACAUGUGAUGCAACCUGUACGAAAUAUUGCCAUAAACUGAGGCUAUUCGGAGGACAAAUGCAGCUUUAAGCGGUUAACUAUUUCUUUUAGCACAGAGAGCACAAAUCACAUCCACGAUCUAUGAAGUGUUUCCUAUCCUGGUAUAAAAUAUGGAAAAUUUUAUGUCUUUUUCACACUAAGUAAACAUUUCUGUUCCUUAAUGUAAUCUGAUCUGUCAAACUUUACCUCAUACUGACAAAACGGAGAAAUUCACUAAGCGACAAGUACUUCUCACUGUUUUAGUUUUGUGAAUGUGCACUAAAUGUCAAUGCAGAAGGAUCCUUGAAGUAUUAUUCACAAUCUGAAGAGAGCCUGGGAGUUGAAUCUUAAAGUCGACAGCAUCGUAUUCAGCUUUGUGCACAUUUUCCCAACCAGCUAUUUCUGUAUCAAAGAAAUUAAUUUGUCUGUGUGAUCCAAAGCAGCAGUGAUGUUAUUUAAGAGACAAAAGAACAUCUCGACUAACUUUUUUCUGACUGAAUCUCUGACAUCCGGCUUUCUGAAUUAGCAUCAGUGUCUGAGUGAGUCAAAUGUUAUGAUUCAGAGUUUGUAGAGGGUCAGAGUCUAUUUCAGUUUGUCUCAGUUCCACCCAGCAGCAGCUGUCUGAGUCACAGCUGUUUGAAAAGUCCCUCUCCAGCUAGCACAAUCCCUCUGCUUCCAACUGAUAAAACCCAACUGGAGAUAUAUUUAUUCAUCUAAACUACGUUUGUCCAUCUACUCAGCAAACCCUGAGAAUAUGGGUCGAUGACAAGCAGGUUUCUGGAGGAGAAAAAUCUGCUAAAACAAACAUUUUUAAAAUGAACUUUGACACAAAUAUCUUACAUUCAGUGUUAAUUAUUAUGUUGGAUGAUCAUGUCUCAUUCAGGAGACAGCGACGGUUUCUGAAUGAGACAUGUCUGCAGCAACUAUUGUCGUUGUCACCUUAGUUUCAUUUCAGAUGAGGGCAAAAGUACUAGAAAAAAAAUUGUGUAUUUCUCUAAAAUUAAAAAAAAAUCACCAGUAAUGGCAAAUAUCUGUAGAAUAAUGAUAUUUUUUUUAAAUGCAAAUGCAGAGAUCUGAGUCAGGAAUUAGAGCUCAACUGGUGGUCAAAGCCAAAUAUAUUUUUAGAUUCUAGAAUAUCUUCAGAUAUCGUGUAAAUUCCUGUUACAACAGGAAACCUUUUUGUUAGAAUAUAUACUACAAACUUUUCAUGGUAUAACAUGAAACUUGUCUUUUUCCAGGGCUGAGAAAUGAAGCCAACACAAAAGUGGUAAAAACUGCAGUUCUUCAAAUGUCCACUAGAGGCUGGUUACAAAGGCGAGUUGAUCCACACAGAUCUCCAUGUUAAAAUGUUCAACUUUAUAGCAGAAAUAAACAUUUUUACAGCAUGGUUAAAAAAAAUACUUUGGUCUCUAUAGCUAAUUUCCCCAUUAAUGACAGCUGUACAGGAGACAAACCUUUAUUUGACUCACUAUUUUAAAUCGCAUUAAGGCUUAAAGUUCUGCAUAUUUCAGGAUGUGGCUGCUUUGAGUGAUGCUCAGAAAGAAACCUGUUGGGGGCAUCAGAAAGUGUUUGUAGAUCAAGAUUUAGUUCAUGUUUUAAUUCGAGAAAAUAUUUUUUAAAAAAAGGCAGUUUCACGAGAGAUAGAGCUUCGAGGUCUGCUUGAGAAUAAAAUACAAACAAAAUAUAACUUAAUUAACCCUCCAGUUAUGUUGCCGAUCAAACUGACUAAUGUUAAAAUUAAAUUUAAAAAAGUUACUUUUUUUUGGCAUGAAACUAUGGAGGUAUUUCAGGUGCAAAAUGUUUGAG